ACUAUUUUGACAGAUGUUAUGUAAUAAAUUUAGAAUUUAUUUAAGUAUUAUUAUUAAUACAUAUAGUA
rnacentral:tRNA from 1 species